rnacentral:rRNA from 1 species
AUGUUCGCAGUCUACGCUUACUUGCUAUCUGACAUGUUCGCAGUCUAUGCUCUUGGCCAGCUUUCACUGCAUAAAAGUGAUGUGCUUGGAGCUGGAGAGAUGCACCGGCUCUCGCCUUUCUGGACGCCUUUCUCCAUUGAGGACAAUGAGUUAUGGCUGAGGCACAUGCUCAAUCUACUGGCCCAAGUUGGCUUGGCCUUGUACGUGUUUUGGAUGUCAUCAGCGCACAGCCAGUUUCUGAUCCCAGCCAUAUUUGUCUUUGUGGCUGGAAUCAUCAAGUACGUGGAGAGGCCAUGGGCUCUCAAGUGUCCAAACCGAAAUGCCCUUAGAUGA